UGGGGAAUAUUGGACAAUGGGCGCAAGCCUGAUCCAGCCAUGCCGCGUGAGUGAUGAAGGUCUUCGGAUUGUAAAACUCUUUCGCCGGGGAAGAUAAUGACGGUACCCGGAGAAGAAGCUCCGGCUAACUUCGUGCCAGCAGCCGCGGUAAUACGAAGGGAGCUAGCGUUGUUCGGAAUUACUGGGCGUAAAGCGCACGUAGGCGGAUUUUUAAGUCAGGGGUGAAAUCCCAAGGCUCAACCUUGGAACUGCCUUUGAUACUGGAAGUCUCGAGAUCGGGAGAGGUGAGUGGAAUUCCUAGUGUAGAGGUGAAAUUCGUAGAUAUUAGGAAGAACACCAGUGGCGAAGGCGGCUCACUGGCCCGAUACUGACGCUGAGGUGCGAAAGCGUGGGGAGCAAACAGG
rnacentral:rRNA from 1 species